CCUACGGGUGGCUGCAGUGAGGAAUAUUGGUCAAUGGGCUUACGCCUGAACCAGCCAAGUCGCGUGAGGGAAGACUGCCCUAUGGGUUGUAAACCUCUUUUGUCAGGGAGCAACGCCGGCUACGUGUAGCCGGACUGAGAGUACCUGAAGAAAAAGCAUCGGCUAACUCCGUGCCAGCAGCCGCGGUAAUACGGAGGAUGCGAGCGUUAUCCGGAUUUAUUGGGUUUAAAGGGUGCGUAGGCGGCCUUUUAAGUCAGCGGUGAAAGUCUGUGGCUCAACCAUAGAAUUGCCGUUGAAACUGGGGGGCUUGAGUAUGUUUGAGGCAGGCGGAAUGCGUGGUGUAGCGGUGAAAUGCUUAGAUAUCACGCAGAACCCCGAUUGCGAAGGCAGCCUGCCAAGCCAUGACUGACGCUGAUGCACGAAAGCGUGGGGAUCAAACAGGAUUAGAUACCCUGGUAGUC
rnacentral:rRNA from 1 species